rnacentral:rRNA from 1 species
UGAGGAAUAUUGGUCAAUGGGCGGGAGCCUGAACCAGCCAAGCCGCGUGAGGGAUGAAGGCCCUAUGGGUCGUAAACCUCUUUUGUCAGGGAACAAAAGCGAGUAUGUAUACUAGUCUGAGUGUACCUGAAGAAAAAGCAUCGGCUAACUCCGUGCCAGCAGCCGCGGUAAUACGGAGGAUGCGAGCGUUAUCCGGAUUUAUUGGGUUUAAAGGGUGCGUAGGCGGCGAUGCAAGUCAGCGGUAAAAGCCCGGGGCUCAACCCCGGCGAGCCGUUGAAACUGCAGUGCUAGGGAAGGCGAGAGGUACGCGGAAUGCGCAGUGUAGCGGUGAAAUGCUUAGAUAUUGCGCAGAACUCCGAUUGCGAAGGCAGCGUACUGGCGCCUGACUGACGCUGAGGCACGAAAGCGUGGGGGAUCGAACAGGAUUAGAUACC